GCGCCCGUAGUUCAAUGGAUAGAGCGACAGACUUCGGAUCUGUAUGUUGGGGGUUCGAGUCCUCCCGGGCGCG
rnacentral:tRNA from 2 species